rnacentral:rRNA from 1 species
UACGAAGGAUUCGAGCGUUAUCCGGAUUUAUUGGGUUUAAAGGGUGCGUAGGUGGAUUAAUAAGUCAGUGGUGAAAGCCCGGAGCUCAACUCUGGAACUGCCAUUGAUACUGUUAGUCUUGAGUACAGUUGAGGUGGGCGGAAUGUGUCAUGUAGCGGUGAAAUGCUUAGAUAUGACACAGAACACCGAUUGCGAAGGCAGCUCACUAAGCUGUAACUGACACUGAGGCACGAAAGUGUGGGUAGCAAACAGG